GCUGCCGGCGGCGCGCGCGAGGACUGAGGAGGCCUGGUGCAGGGCUAAGAGUGUGCAACCUAUAAGCACACACUGCAUACAGGAACACCAGGAGCCAUGAAUGUGAGUGGUGAAGGGAGUAAGAAGUGCUGGUACACCCUUCACAUCCUAGUGGUACUGAGAAUGGCUGAUUUGUGUGGACAGGGAAGAGAGGUGACCCUGGAUCUACAGCUUUCCUGCAGAAUUUGUGCUGAGGCAACUUCAUGAAACAGAGUAGAAAUAAGACAGGAUGAUGAAAGCUAAUGAAAUAGGAAGCUUUUCACUUCCAGCCCAUAUGUUCCAGCACAUCCUUCAACCUGGAAUGAAACACAGUCUCAGAUGUGGUAGUGGUAGUGACCUCUUUAUUACUGACUAUUACUGACUAUUGUCAGCAGCAAAUAAAAUUUUUGCAAGCUUAAUGGGAUUUUUUUUAAACUCCCUUAAUGAGAGUUUUUGCAACCUUGAGAGGGGUGGUAGUAUCCUGCUCUUCUCCAGGCAUCCAGCUCACAGGCAUACAUGAAAACUAGCACCUACCUGACAUAGUGGUCAUGUCACUAAGAGGCACUAGAGUAUCUACGCCUUAACCCAAUCCAACCCUACACCAAAUAAGCUUUCACUGCCUGAAAUUUACUUUAUUUUCCUUUUAGUAGGGGCUGUUUCAUUCUGAGUGGAUCUCAGGAAGACAUCUAGUUCAUCAAGAGUAUACUGAUGCCUGACCAUAACCUUACCUGAUGACAAAAUCUCGAAGUAGGGCAAAUUCACAGUGAUUGAGGUUUUCCACUGAAAAGAAAGCAAGCAAUUGUUACAUUUGAUUUUUUCAACAGCCCCUUUGUGGUUAUAGAACAUGAGAAAGUCACUGCCAUUGGGGCAGGUUCCAAGUGGGUAGACCUUGCAUACUUCAGAAAGGACAGACAGUUGUCUGAAAGCCACAUUGUUGAGCAUUGAGGAGACACUAAGAGAUGCUGGGCAGUCACAUAUGAACUUUCAUUUGAAAACCAAGGCAAUCUCAGGAGCUUAGCUUCACACACCCUGAUGUUAGAGUGGCUCCAGCUUCUGCCAGGUGGUGAUAGUGGCACUAUAUUGACCAUGGCAGUUCCCUCCUGGUGCAGCUAUUUGAGAAUUCUUCUGCUUGGUUUCAAGUAUUUUGUCACAAAUGGGAUGGGAAGGUAGCCACAGGACAUGCUAUCUGGACCCUUGUCUAUUACUGUGAUCUGCAGACAAUACUUUCAGCUCCCAUAAGCAAGAGGUUUUUUACCUUCAAUGAUUCCCCAAGGUGUUUUCCGGCCCAGGACUCUUUUGCCAUUCACUUGGUACUCCUUGUCACUGCCCACUACUGCAAAGGGCAUGCUUUCCUGCUAGGGAGAGAUGUGGAAAGAUCCAUCGAACAAAUUCCAGAGACCAGCACCACUAUGGUUCCCCAUCUACCUUUCCACUUCUCAGCUCAACAAACACAAGGCCUUCUCUGAGGGAAGAGAUUCUCCAGAGCAAAACUUCACUGGCUGUCCUUUUUACCCCUCAGUGCUAUCCCUAGAAUUCUGGACUCUUGCUUUCCAGGCGUCCUUGCACCCCAACAAGCUUAGUGGGUAGCUUGCAGCAGUGCAAGGGCUCCAGAGCUGGGGCAGAGCUUUUCUGCAUUACCUCCAGAAUUUCUGAGGAGGGGGAUGACCAGAGAAGAAGUACCUUAGCAUAACCAACAGAGGAUCUGUCAGCCCAGAGCUGCUCAUAUGGAUAAUUUGAGAUGAAUUAUUUCUCACCAGAUUUUAGUUCUUCAGAAUAGAAAGACAGGACUCAAAUAAUCCUUCCCCAUAAACCACAUGAACAUUCAUCAGGUUUAGUGGCUGAAAUUGUACUGAGGAGAGCCAGAAAUGGAGUAAGGGUGUAGCUUUCCUGGAAAGUAGGACAGUAGGUGAGGCUAUUGAGGACCCAGAUAUCUCUAAGCACAGGGAGAAACUAUCUGUUUCCAGAGCACAGAGUGCAGAAGACUCUGCGAUCCAUAGUACUGUGCAGAUGUUUAUAGGUUUACUCUGCUUUACAGAUGUGUCUGGAAAGAGUCUGCAAUUACCACAGGAAUGGAGACUUAAAAGCAGUUUAUUUCUUAUAUGUGAGGGCAAUGAUGCUGAAGUGCAGAACAAAAUGUG